CCAUUCUGGCCAAGGUGCCAAAAUGAGAAUGUUCACACUCAAAGCCUCUCAAUGAUAUUUCUAACAUAAUAUUUCCUAUCCCUCCAAAAGUUUCAACAAGAUUGUUGUGAAUAACAUGAAAUACCCUGGUUGCGCAUGGUGUAUAAACUGAGGAGGAGUUUCAGCUCCUGCAGGUUAAACAUGUUGCCUUAACAAGUACAGGGUAGGCCCAACAUUGGCCAACGCCCCCGCCUGUUUAGUAAGCAUUGGUAGCACUGACUUUCUAAAGGAACUGAAAUGGGAAGUCAAAAUGUUAUGCAUUCAAGCACGCAAUUGGAAGCCGUGCAACACCGACCAUACACUGUCUGGAGUGGUGGUGUAUUAUUUUAAAAGUGCUCAAGUCUCAAUUCAAGUGUGGCCUUCAUGUUAUGUUGUGAAGAACACUAAUUAAAAAGAGGACUUUAUUGGAAAACAUAUCAGGAAUUUGCCAGCUAAGAUGCAGGACAGGGAUUUGGUUUGCCCACUAUUCAAAGUGCUACUGGUUGCGUGUCUGACCAUACACCUGACACUGCAAAUACUUCAUCUUUGGGGACUGGGUACCUUGCUAAAAUGGAGGAUUGAAUGUAGCAGUAAAUUGAAUGGGAGAUUCUGCAUCAGUGAGUUGUGGGAGAAAGUUCAUCUUUUAGUAGUUCAUCGAUCUCAAGCAUGAGGUUCAACAGGGUGAAAGUCGUCAAGUGGCAGAGUCAAACGCACACGUCUGGAGGAUCUCUGGAGCUCAUUGUACACAACAAGUGUCCUCAAACCAGCCUGUAUGAUCUGAUGCUAAACCUGCCAUGAAAUGCCUUCCAACACAAGGUUGCAAAGCUGGUAAAGAUUUCCCAUUGCAGCAAAUGGUCUCUUUACCAUUUGCUAAUGUUAUUAUCAUAUUAAAGCAGUCUAUUUCAUUUUCCUGGACAUAUCUACUUAUAAAUAGUUUGACUCCUGACAACAUUCAUGGGGGUUGUUGUUGAAUAUUUUUGCAAGGCACUCUGGCUGUAUUAACUUAUUUUGUGAAACAGCAUACACCUUAGUUAUUGAAGGGCUGUCCGCACCUCAAUCAAUGUCUUGAAAUUGUUUUUCUUUAGUUCAUGUUUUAUUUUAUUUUUAAUCAUGGUUGAUUUCCAAAAUAUAAUUUAAUUCAAACCGUUUACCUUGUAUUUAUCUUUACCAUCCGAUUUUCCAGUUCUGCUGUCUGUUUUUAAUGGUGUAGUCACAAGAUUAAAUUGACCUACCUAUUCUAAUUGCCUUACAAGACGGACUGUCUGGCGUCAAAUAAUAUCAUCAUUUAAUUCUGUACGAUCUAAAUCAAUACUAUGUUUGUGUCAAUGACAUCGUCGGUGCCGUUUGGUUCUCAAAUUGCAGUUAAUUUAGUUUUAACUAGGGGGCAGUAUCAUACAGUGAUUGUCAAACUGGGAUAACUUGGCUUGAUUAUGUUCAUUAUGGGCUGUAAAAUGAAGCCACAGUGUGCCAACUAAAUAAACAACUUAAUUGAUGUUCGUCAAUGUAAUGUUCAGGCAAGCCUAAUGUGACUCUUAUGUUUUUACAGUUUGAUAUGUCAAUUAUAAAAUGAUUAAAACGACUUAUAAUUGUAUGAGCCAUUGCACU
ensembl:lncRNA